UGCCUUUUGAAGGCUUUUGGCCCAGGUACCUACUCAUUUCAUUCUCAUUCCCUUAGAGGGGCAGACCCAGGUGGGAGUACUGCAGGCCACGCCCCUCGAAGACAGCAUCCACGUGGUCUUCCGAUACUAGCAAGGUGUGCUCGGCAGCCGGUGCCUCAAGGAUUGUUCUGGAAGGAUGACAUCACUCAAGGUGUGAGGACCCAGCAGACAGAGCACACGCCCUGGCUCCAUGCCCCAGAGGCCCAUCUGAGGAGCGGACAGGCAGCCUUUCCCACCAGAGUCACCAGGGUGAGGACGUCUUUGAGCCAUUCCCUACUCUGAGUCACAACCUCGUAGCUGAUUAAGGCCACAUGGGAAGCUUCCCAUUCCUCAUACUUCCCCUGAUGCUCUCAGGAAGGACAAUUUCAGGCUGAACCAAAUCUGGAUUAUUAAAGUCAAUUUUCA
rnacentral:lncRNA from 1 species